rnacentral:rRNA from 1 species
UACGUAGGGUGCGAGCGUUAAUCGGAAUUACUGGGCGUAAAGUGUGCGCAGGUGGCUGAGCAAGUCGAGUGUGAAAUCCCCGGGCUUAACUUGGGAAUUGCGCUCGAAACUACUUGGCUCGAGUGUGGCAGAGGAAGGUGGAAUUCCAGGUGUAGCGGUGAAAUGCGUAGAUAUCGGGAGGAACACCAGUGGCGAAGGCGGCUUCCUGGCCUGUUCUUGACGCUGAGGCGCGAAAGCUAGGGGAGCAAACGGG